rnacentral:rRNA from 1 species
AAAUUGAAGAGUUUGAUCAUGGCUCAGAUUGAACGCUGGCGGCAGGCCUAACACAUGCAAGUCGAACGGUAACAGGAAGAAGCUUGCUUCUUUGCUGACGAGUGGCGGACGGGUGAGUAAUGUCUGGGAAACUGCCUGAUGGAGGGGGAUAACUACUGGAAACGGUAGCUAAUACCGCAUAACGUCGCAAGACCAAAGAGGGGGACCUUCGGGCCUCUUGCCAUCGGAUGUGCCCAGAUGGGAUUAGCUAGUAGGUGGGGUAACGGCUCACCUAGGCGACGAUCCCUAGCUGGUCUGAGAGGAUGACCAGCCACACUGGAACUGAGACACGGUCCAGACUCCUACGGGAGGCAGCAGUGGGGAAUAUUGCACAAUGGGCGCAAGCCUGAUGCAGCCAUGCCGCGUGUAUGAAGAAGGCCUUCGGGUUGUAAAGUACUUUCAGCGGGGAGGAAGGGAGUAAAGUUAAUACCUUUACUCAUUGACGUUAC